CUGCAGGAGGUGUCUUGCAUCAAUUAAAAGACUAUACAAUGAUAUGAUAUGAAGAUAACAUUUGGUCUUGCCUUACACAAUGGUGAGAUAAGGAUGAUAACAAUGAUAUUUUAACGUUAUUGUUACCAACUUUCCACAGUAGCCCAAGAUAGAAAGUUCAGUCAAGGGACAUUCUAAAAUGCUUAACAUGAUAAAGCUUAAUGUGGCUUAAUGUUUCAAAACUGCGAUCAAUGAUCACCAAAUCUCUCUCGGACAACUCUUGUCAGAGACACUUUCACGUAUCAAAAAAUCAAAACAGAAAUCCUAGGAGUAUGGUUGUUAUCUCAUGUUAACCGUUUUCCUCUCCAUUGACGCCCAUUAUAAAGAAAAGGCUUAACAAAACAGCAAUCAGUGAUCACCAAGUGAUCACCAAAUGAUCUCUCUUUCUCUCACAGGUACAGCCUUCCUCUCUGCAUCAUAUGACUGGACUUUUCUCCUGUGGCAUAACAGCCUGAUCGAGUGUAAGCCAACAAAAAACAGGACUGAUUGUCUGUUUUUUUUUGGCUUACACUCUUCAACUAAGGAGUGAAUCCACAUCCUGGCCUUUGUAUGGCUGUCAACUGACCCUUGUGAGCUGCUGAUGACUGCACAGGCAUACACAAUGGCAAAAACACCACAGUCAUAAACACUGGCUUGUUGUGGGACAAUUAUGACAUCUGUGACUGUCCAAUCAGACACCUGAAAAUCUUCUCCAGCUGCUGUGUACAUGCAUGCCACAACUUUCAGGAGAGUUGAGCUUGCAGUUUUAAAACUGUGGAUAUUUUCCUGAUGUUAGAAGAUAUAGGAAAUCCUUGAAAUCUUUGAAGUGCACUUCAAUUAGAAUUUUUAAGAUGGGAGAGAGCUCAUAACAAGAGACAUGUGAGAGCAAUUUGGUGAUCUUUGAUUGUAGUUUUGGGACAUUAAGCCACAUUAAGCUUUUUCGUUAUAAUGGGCGUCAAUGGAGCAAAAACAUUUAACAUACAUAAACUUAGGUUAACUUAACAACCAUAUUCCUUGGAUUUCUAUUUUGAUUUUUCAAGAGAAGAUUGUGUUUAUGACAAGAGAUGUGUUAGAGAAAUUUGGUCUUCUUUGAUUGUACUUUUGGUGUAUUAAGCUAGGUAGCUUUGCCCUUUCCCUUUGGGCAGCAAUGGAGAGGGCAACACUCAACAUAACAUAGGCCUAACUACCAUAUUCCUUGGAUUUUAGUUUUACUUUUUUGAUAGGAGAUGAUGUUUAUGACAUGUGAGAUGUCAGACAAAUUUGAUGAUCAUUGGACGCUAUUUUGGGGCAUUAAGCCACGUUAAGCCUUUUCCUUUUAAUGGGUGUCAACGGAGAGGAAAAUGCUUAAUGUUAGAUAACGUCCAUACUCAUAGGAUUUCGGUUUUGAUUUUUUGACAGGUGGAAGUGUUUAUGACAAGACAUGUCUGAGAGAAAUUUGGUGAUUAUUGGACGCUGUUUUGGAACAUUAAGCUACAUUAAGCCUUUUCACAUUAAAUGUUUUAGAAGGUCCAUUCAGUCAACAAAGUGUUUUUUUUCACUAAGUAUUCUUAUUGUUUAGAUAUAGUGGCUGGGUUUUUUUGUAAACUCGGUGCUGACUGCUAGUGCUAGCUGGUUCCAGGUAGUUUGAAUGUUUGUUGUUAAGAUGAUGCAGGAUGAAACUAGUAUUGUUAUGAUAUUUCAGUCAUCUUUCAUAAUUUGCAGGUUGUUUGGGAGCGAUUUUCUAUUUUAUUAUGGAACUUGCAAACAAUUUAUUUAACCUUUUCUGCUGUUGCCAUCCUUCCUCUUGUUUACCAAGGGCUCUAACUGGAAACUGAGUGCACGUGAGAUCUACAAUUAACAAGUACUAGAUGUUAAUGUAGAAACUCGAGAAUUGAUGUAACUGCUUGAGAACUUGAAUGCUCGAGUACUCUGUAAAACCCCUAAUAUAUAUAUAUUUCUCUUCUCUGCACUAAACCAUGUGGAGAGCUGUUUUCUGAUGAAGACAUGAAGGGAGCAACUGAGAAAAGAGGAACAAUGUGAGGAAGACAAGAAGACAGGAGAGUCUUGGCAAGAAAUGAGAUGAGAAGUCAAAAGGUGAAAACUGUCCACAGAGGGUCAGCGGCUAUUGAAUUCAUCAGUCUGGAAAAGGUCAAAUCAAUCUAUUAAAGUUCCAACCAUCCCCAAAGAUCUUUAACUGCCUAUGGUGGAGAGAUAAACUCUGAAUGUUGUGUGGAAUGAAA